rnacentral:rRNA from 1 species
GUGCACCAGUCGCGAAUAGUCUACAAUGGACGAAAGUCUGAUAGUGCGACGCCGUGUGUGCGAUUAAUUCCUUCGGGAUGUAAAGCACUUUUCUAUGAGAUAAAAGCUCUUUAGGUUAAUAGCUUAUUGAGACGGAUAUUAUUAUAGGAAUAAGCUCCGGCUAACUCCGUGCCAGCAGCCGCGGUAAUACGGAAGGAGCGAGCGUUGUCCGGAUUUACUAGGCGUAAAGGGCUAGUAGGCGACUAAUUAAGUAUAUGUUAAAUCCCACGGCUCAACUGUGGUCCUGCAUGUAAUACUGGUUAGAUAGAGUACUGUAGAGGAAGGCAGAAUUCCUGGAGUAGCGGUGGAAUGCGCAGAUAUCAGGAAGAAUACCAAAAGCGAAGGCAGCCUUCUGGGCAGUUACUGACGCUGAAUAGCGAAGGUGUGGGUAGCGAACAGGAUUAGAUACCCGUGU